AGAGAUGUGUGAUGACGCAUAUCAAUAAGCGGAGGAAAAGAAACUAACAAGGAUUCCCUUAGUAACGGCGAGUGAAGCGGGAAGAGCUCAAAUUUGAAAUCUUCAAGGUUCUACCUUGACGAAUUGUAGUUUAUAGAAGUGUUUUCUGUUAGUGGAGUGGCAAAAGUUCUUUGGAAUAGGACAUCAUAGAGGGUGAGAAUCCCGUAUUUGGUCAUUCCUCCUAGCGUUGUGAUACACUUUCAACGAGUCGGAUUGUUUGGGAAUGCAGUCCAAAAUGGGUGGUAAAUUUCAUCUAAAGCUAAAUACUGGCGAGAGGCCGAUAGCGAACAAGUACCGUGAGGGAAAGAUGAAAAGAACUUUGAAAAGAGAGUUAAACAGUACGUGAAAUUGUCAAAAGGGAAGCGUUUGACACCAGUGUUGUUUUUCCGAAAAUCAAUUACGAAUGUUUUGUUUUUAAGGAGUUAUGACUUCAUCGGCUUGCUCCUUUCUUUAUGAAACUUUCUUAAUGCACUUUUCGGUUAACAAGUCAACAUCAAUUUCUUUUGUUGUAAAAGGGUAUGAGGAAGGUGGCUUUCUUUUCGGAGAAAGUGUUUAUAGCCUUGUGCCUCUGCAAUCGGAGAGAUUGAGGUCUGCAGCGUAGAUCCUUCGGGGUUAGAUACGUUUGUGCUAAGUUAUAGCUUUUCAUAGACAACUUGUUGACUAUGUUUAGUCUUGUAGCUUACUCGCUUACGCUAUUUUACCUACGCUUAGGAUGUUGAACUCUAUCACACACAG
rnacentral:rRNA from 1 species